GACGUAGGGCGCGAGCGUUGUCCGGAUUUAUUGGGCGUAAAGAGCUCGUAGGUGGUUUGUCGCGUUGUCCGUGAAAACUCACAACUCAAUUGUGGGCGUGCGGGCGAUACGGGCAGACUGGAGUACUGCAGGGGAGACUGGAAUUCCUGGUGUAGCGGUGGAAUGCGCAGAUAUCAGGAGGAACACCGGUGGCGAAGGCGGGUCUCUGGGCAACAACUGACGCUGAGGAGCGAAAGCGUGGGGAGCGAACAGG
rnacentral:rRNA from 1 species